GAUGAACGCUGGCGGCGUGCCUAAUACAUGCAAGUCGAGCGAACGGACGAGAAGCUUGCUUCUCUGAUGUUAGCGGCGGACGGGUGAGUAACACGUGGAUAACCUACCUAUAAGACUGGGAUAACUUCGGGAAACCGGAGCUAAUACCGGAUAAUAUUUUGAACCGCAUGGUUCAAAAGUGAAAGACGGUCUUGCUGUCACUUAUAGAUGGAUCCGCGCUGCAUUAGCUAGUUGGUAAGGUAACGGCUUACCAAGGCAACGAUGCAUAGCCGACCUGAGAGGGUGAUCGGCCACAUUGGACUGGAGAAACGGUCCAGACUCCUACGGGAGGCAGCAGGAGGGAAUCUUCCGCAAUGGGCGAAAGCCUGACGGAGCAACGCGGCGUGAGUGAUGAAGGCCUUCGGAUCGUAAAACUCUGUUAUUAGGGAAGAACAUAUGUGUAAGUAACUGUGCACAUCUUGACGGUACCUAAUCAGAAAGCCACGGCUAACUACGU
rnacentral:rRNA from 1 species